GGUUAAGCGACUAAGCGUACACGGUGGAUGCCCUGGCAGUCAGAGGCGAUGAAGGACGUGCUAAUCUGCGAAAAGCGUCGGUAAGGUGAUAUGAACCGUUAUAACCGGCGAUGUCCGAAUGGGGAAACCCAGUGUGAUUCGUCACACUAUCGUUAACUGAAUACAUAGGUUAACGAGGCGAACCGGGGGAACUGAAACAUCUAAGUACCCCGAGGAAAAGAAAUCAACCGAGAUUCCCCCAGUAGCGGCGAGCGAACGGGGAGCAGCCCAGAGUCUGAAUCAGCUUGUGUGUUAGUGGAACGGUCUGGAAAGUCCGACGGUACAGGGUGAUAGUCCCGUACACCAAAAUGCACAGGUUGUGAACUCGAAGAGUAGGGCGGGACACGUGGUAUCCUGUCUGAAUAUGGGGGGACCAUCCUCCAAGGCUAAAUACUCCUGACUGACCGAUAGUGAACCAGUACCGUGAGGGAAAGGCGAAAAGAACCCCGGCGAGGGGAGUGAAAAAGAACCUGAAACCGUGUACGUACAAGCAGUGGGAGCACCUUCGGGUGUGACUGCGUACCUUUUGUAUAAUGGGUCAGCGACUUAUAUUCUGUAGCAAGGUUAACCGUAUAGGGGAGCCGCAGGGAAACCGAGUCUUAACUGGGCGUUAAGUUGCAGGGUAUAGACCCGAAACCCGGUGAUCUAGCCAUGGGCAGGUUGAAGGUUGGGUAACACUAACUGGAGGACCGAACCGACUAAUGUUGAAAAAUUAGCGGAUGACUUGUGGCUGGGGGUGAAAGGCCAAUCAAACCGGGAGAUAGCUGGUUCUCCCCGAAAGCUAUUUAGGUAGCGCCUCGUGAAUUCAUCUUCGGGGGUAGAGCACUGUUUCGGCUAGGGGGUCAUCCCGACUUACCAACCCGAUGCAAACUACGAAUACCGAAGAAUGUUAUCACGGGAGACACACGGCGGGUGCUAACGUCCGUCGUGAAGAGGGAAACAACCCAGACCGCCAGCUAAGGUCCCAAAGUCAUGGUUAAGUGGGAAACGAUGUGGGAAGGCACAGACAGCCAGGAUGUUGGCUUAGAAGCAGCCAUCAUUUAAAGAAAGCGUAAUAGCUCACUGGUCGAGUCGGCCUGCGCGGAAGAUGUAACGGGGCUAAACCAUGCACCGAAGCUGCGGCAGCGACACUAUGUGUUGUUGGGUAGGGGAGCGUUCUGUAAGCCUGCGAAGGUGUGCUGUGAGGCAUGCUGGAGGUAUCAGAAGUGCGAAUGCUGACAUAAGUAACGAUAAAGCGGGUGAAAAGCCCGCUCGCCGGAAGACCAAGGGUUCCUGUCCAACGUUAAUCGGGGCAGGGUGAGUCGACCCCUAAGGCGAGGCCGAAAGGCGUAGUCGAUGGGAAACAGGUUAAUAUUCCUGUACUUGGUGUUACUGCGAAGGGGGGACGGAGAAGGCUAUGUUAGCCGGGCGACGGUUGUCCCGGUUUAAGCAUGUAGGCUGGUUGUCCAGGCAAAUCCGGAUAAUCAAGGCUGAGGUGUGAUGACGAGGCACUACGGUGCUGAAGUAACAAAUGCCCUGCUUCCAGGAAAAGCCUCUAAGCAUCAGGUAACAUCAAAUCGUACCCCAAACCGACACAGGUGGUCAGGUAGAGAAUACCAAGGCGCUUGAGAGAACUCGGGUGAAGGAACUAGGCAAAAUGGUGCCGUAACUUCGGGAGAAGGCACGCUGGUGUGUAGGUGAAGUCCCUGCGGAUGGAGCUGAGACCAGUCGAAGAUACCAGCUGGCUGCAACUGUUUAUUAAAAACACAGCACUGUGCAAACACGAAAGUGGACGUAUACGGUGUGACGCCUGCCCGGUGCCGGAAGGUUAAUUGAUGGGGUUAUCCGUAAGGAGAAGCUCUUGAUCGAAGCCCCGGUAAACGGCGGCCGUAACUAUAACGGUCCUAAGGUAGCGAAAUUCCUUGUCGGGUAAGUUCCGACCUGCACGAAUGGCGUAAUGAUGGCCAGGCUGUCUCCACCCGAGACUCAGUGAAAUUGAACUCGCUGUGAAGAUGCAGUGUACCCGCGGCAAGACGGAAAGACCCCGUGAACCUUUACUAUAGCUUGACACUGAACAUUGAGCCUUGAUGUGUAGGAUAGGUGGGAGGCUUUGAAGCGUGGACGCCAGUCUGCGUGGAGCCAACCUUGAAAUACCACCCUUUAAUGUUUGAUGUUCUAACGUUGGCCCCUGACCGGGGUUGCGGACAGUGUCUGGUGGGUAGUUUGACUGGGGCGGUCUCCUCCCAAAGCGUAACGGAGGAGCACGAAGGUUAGCUAAUCCUGGUCGGACAUCAGGAGGUUAGUGCAAUGGCAUAAGCUAGCUUGACUGCGAGCGUGACGGCGCGAGCAGGUGCGAAAGCAGGUCAUAGUGAUCCGGUGGUUCUGAAUGGAAGGGCCAUCGCUCAACGGAUAAAAGGUACUCCGGGGAUAACAGGCUGAUACCGCCCAAGAGUUCAUAUCGACGGCGGUGUUUGGCACCUCGAUGUCGGCUCAUCACAUCCUGGGGCUGAAGUAGGUCCCAAGGGUAUGGCUGUUCGCCAUUUAAAGUGGUACGCGAGCUGGGUUUAGAACGUCGUGAGACAGUUCGGUCCCUAUCUGCCGUGGGCGCUGGAGAAUUGAGGGGGGCUGCUCCUAGUACGAGAGGACCGGAGUGGACGCAUCACUGGUGUUCGGGUUGUCAUGCCAAUGGCACUGCCCGGUAGCUAAAUGCGGAAGAGAUAAGUGCUGAAAGCAUCUAAGCACGAAACUUGCCCCGAGAUGAGUUCUCCCUGAGACUUUAAGUCUCCUGAAGGAACGUUAAAGACGAUGACGUUGAUAGGCCGGGUGUGUAAGCGCAGCGAUGCGUUGAGCUAACCGGUACUAAUGAACCGUGAGGCUUAACCUUAC
rnacentral:rRNA from 1 species